AAUGGGCGAAAGCCUGAUGCAGCAACGCCGCGUGAGUGAAGAAGGCCUUCGGGUUGUAAAGCUCUGUCUUUUGGGACGAUAAUGACGGUACCAAAGGAGGAAGCCACGGCUAACUACGUGCCAGCAGCCGCGGUAAUACGUAGGUGGCAAGCGUUGUCCGGAUUUACUGGGCGUAAAGGAUGCGUAGGUGGAUAUUUAAGUGGGAUGUGAAAUACCCGGGCUCAACUUGGGUGCUGCAUUCCAAACUGGAUAUCUAGAGUGCAGGAGAGGAAAGUGGAAUUCCUAGUGUAGCAGUGAAAUGCGUAGAUAUUAGGAGGAACACCAGUGGCGAAGGCGGCUUUCUGGACUGUAACUGACACUGAGGCAUGAAAGCGUGGGGAGCAAACAGGAUUAGAUACCCUGGUAGUCCACGCCGUAAACGAUGGGUACUAGGUGUGGGAGUUGUCAUGACUUCCGUGCCGUCGUUAACACAGUAAGUACCCCGCCUGGGGAGUACGA
rnacentral:rRNA from 1 species